GUGCCAGCCGCCGCGGUAAUACGGGGGGGGCAAGCGUUGUUCGGAAUUACUGGGCGUAAAGGGCGCGUAGGCGGUCUACUAAGUUGGAUGUGAAAACUCUGGGCUUAACCCAGAGCCUGCAUUCAAAACUGAUAGGCUGGAGUUCUGGAGGGGAUAGCGGAAUUCCUGGUGUAGCGGUGAAAUGCGUAGAUAUCAGGAGGAACACCGGUGGCGAAGGCGGCUAUCUGGACAGAAACUGACGCUGAGGCGCGAAAGCUAGGGGAGCAAACAGGAUUAGAAACCCCCGUAGUCC
rnacentral:rRNA from 1 species